rnacentral:rRNA from 1 species
AUUGAACGCUGGCGGCAGGCUUAACACAUGCAAGUCGAACGAGGGGCGGACGGGUGAGUAAUGUCUGGGAAACUGCCUGAUGGAGGGGGAUAACUACUGGAACCGGUAGCUAAUACCGCAUACCAUCAGAUGUGCCCAGAUGGGAUUAGCUAGUAGGUGGGGUAACGGCUCACAUAGGCGACGAUCCCUAGCUGGUCUGAGAGGAUGAACAGCCACACUGGAACCGAGACACGGUCCAUACCCCUACGGGAGUCAGCAGUGGGGAAUAUUGCACAAUGGGCGCAAGCCUGAUGCAGCCAUGCCGCGUGUAUGAAGAAGGCCUUCGGGUUGUAAAGCACUUUCAGCGAGGAGGCGUUACUCGCAGAAGAAGCACCGGCUAACUCCGUGCCAGCAGCCGCGGUAAUUC